AGCACAGUGUAGUCUUGUCUUUGGUUGCAGUCUCACUUGGCUCUGUUUCUUGCACUACCAGAGUGUUCUUAGCACAACCGUGGAACACGGAGGGACGCAGGGCAGCAUAGAUUAACAUCGUAGAGGAGAAAUUGUGCCCUUAGUGUUAAUAAUGUGCCUUUUGUUCUGAAUGCCAUGUUACAGGGCAUGCAUUUUUGGCCUCUUUAACUCUUUGAAUGAGAGGUAGUAAAGAGGGAUGCCACCUCUGCGGAGAUAACAUCUGUCUUAAAUAUCUAGAUUUAUAGGCCUUAAUAGAAACCAUAAGGCGUGAAUUGUCACUGGAUGCUGAGCAAGAUAACUAUUGGUUAGUUACGCCAGGAAUUCCCACGUUUAAGAGGUUAAAGAUGGUCUUUGUUGUAUCUUAACAUCAGACUGAUUUUUUAACGAUAACUUUUUUGUUGUUAUGCUAACACUAGACAAAAAAAAAUCAACUGUAUUUGUAAAAAUUUACCUCAAACCAUUUAAUUUUAUAGUGUGAUUGGUUAAUCCCAGGGCAUUUGGUAUGAACCAAAGUGCAUUCCUUUUUUUUAUGUGCCUGGCUCCAGUAAGGAUGGCCAGGGAUUUUUACAAUUUGGGUGCAUGACACUUAAGCCACUUUUAAACUUACUGGGCGGUGUGGGGUCCUGUUAGACGACUCCAUCAGAAUGUCAGAAAACACUUUAGGCAUCAGUAGCAUUGGGCCAUAUUGGAAUCUUAAAAGCGCGAAUUAUUUUAAAAGAGAACAUUCAUUUUUUGUAAUUUUUUUCAUCAAGACUAUUUCUGGUAACAGAAGAUUUUUUUUAAAAUAAAAAAUAAUAAUAAAAAAAAUCAACGGAUUCGGUUGGUAAAGGUUUUAAUAUUGCCCAACAUAAUGCUGUGGUAGCAUUAAAAAAAAAGUAUUUGUGGACUCUGUUUUUAGGGGCUUGUACAUCUCUCUGCUAUGGACAUAUAUACGAUACAUUGUAAUUAUAUCAGCUCAACUGCUGCAGUUAUGUCUAGGCGGGGGCUUGGGUUUUUUAUCGAGCAACACCUUAGACACGUGACUGUAUUAAUGCUGCAACUGUGUGUACUGAAAAUAUGUGAAAUGGUUGAAUGUGGACUGUGUAUAUAUGUAUGUACAGAUUUCUGUGAGAUGCUGCUGUUGCCACUUGACAUGGGAAGUGUUGUAGUGGGUCUGAACCCUAGCGACCAGUUCUAUGAUACUGUAUGCAUUGUACAGCCAGAGCAGAAGUAAGACUGUUUAGUGAAUUAUUUGUUAAAUUUUAUUGUUGUGGCCAGAGAUAAUUUCAGAAUAAAAUUUUAAUGUCCUACC
rnacentral:lncRNA from 1 species